UUAGGUUAUUGGGUAUUUCAUUUCUUAUCGCCGUCGACGAACUGUACUGUAAUUGUCGCAACUCGCCGUUUUAUAAAGAAUGGUUUUUUAUUAUUUACAUUGAGGGUGUUCGUCUGAAUAUUUUUUCCAGCAGCUCAACCAUUGAAUUCAUAUCUACUCCGAAAGACAGAGACAUGGAACCUUUGCAGCCAAAAGAAAUCAUUGUUCCAGACACCCCAAGUGAUUCGUCCAUUUCUCCUGAUAAAAAACGUACCAAAUUGAUAUAUCAUCCACAUACACGAAUAGAUAAAGGUCUAUCUCUCCCACAAGUUCGUAGAAUAU